AUUGAACGCUGGCGGAAUGCUUUACACAUGCAAGUCGAACGGCAGCACGGACUUCGGUCUGGUGACGAGUGGCGAACGGGUGAGUAAUGUAUCGGAACGUGCCCAGUCGUGGGGGAUAACGUAGUGAAAAUUACGCUAAUACCGCAUACGAUCUAUGGAUGAAAGCGGGGGAUCGCAAGACCUCGCGCGAUUGGAGCGGCCGAUAUCAGAUUAGGUAGUUGGUGGGGUAAAGGCCCACCAAGCCAACGAUCUGUAGCUGGUCUGAGAGGACGACCAGCCACACUGGAACUGAGAAACGGUCCAGACUCCUACGGGAGGCAGCAGUGGGGAAUUUUGGACAAUGGGCGAAAGCCUGAUCCAGCCAUUCCGCGUGCAGGAUGAAGGCCCUCGGGUUGUAAACUGCUUUUGUACAGAACGAAAAGGUUUCUACUAAUACUAGGAGCUCAUGACGGUACUGUAAGAAUAAGCACCGGCUAACUACGGGCCAGCAGCCGCCGUAA
rnacentral:rRNA from 1 species